rnacentral:lncRNA from 1 species
GGGAAGAUAGAGCAGAAACAUCUUCCAGAGAAAUCUAGGUUUCCUUGAGAAGAAUAAAAUAGAAAGAGUGCAUGAAAUCUAGGACAAAGGAGAACUUGUGAGGAGGAAUAGAAGGGAUGUCAAGACUAUGAGAAAGCAGAGGUUGAUAGUGAUGUCACAAAGGUCUAGAGAUGAUGUUGAUAAGAAUGGAAUAUAUAGAGGUGAAGGUAAGGGAGCAAGAGGAUGAACGUGGAUAAAAAGAGUGAAGCAGUUCCUUACUUUCACGAAGAUUAUAUUCUAAUGAAAGUGCACAAAAUGAAGCAGGAAUGGCGAACCAGUCAUCAAGAUAACCAUCUGAUUGUCUGUGAUUUGACCCCUCCAUGGCACUUCUUCUCUGCUGUCAUCCAUAUCCUAAAGCAAACAUACUCUUGACUUAAUUGGAGACUGAAGACAUCCCUAGGACAGGGUGGGACAGGCCAAAAGAGUCCACUCAUUUUCUGCUGAGGAUCAAGAUUUGUACUUCAUUCAAUGAAUACUACUAAGUACCCAUAAAGUACACAGAAGUAUACAUACCCCUUGUCAUUAGGGGAUGCAUUCAAGUAAGUCUUAUCCUUCAGUUCCUGGCUCCUUCGAUUAAAUCAGAGCAAAUCCUUGCUUCCAGAAAUAGCUUCCAGGACUCCUUACCGCUCCAGCCAAAGUGGUCUCAUUGUAGACAUUCUACAGAUUUUGCAGGUAGGCUCCCAGCCUCAGGAUUUUGGAUCAGUCUAUGAUCAAUCAACAAAUGAUGAUUAGGCAUCUGCCAUGUGCCAGGCAUUGUGCUAAGUGUUGUAGAUGCAAGGAUGAAAAAUUACACACUCUUUAUUCCUCAUUUCAAAUGGGGUGAUGGGAAAUGCACAUAAACUACACAGAUAAUGAAUAGAAAGUUGACAAAUACAAAAAUAUAGAAAGCUGUUAAAAUCAAAGUGAUUUGGAGGGCACAGGUAGUCCAGAUGAUUUCAGGACAGGCAUUAUGCAGAGGAUAACUCCUGAGCUGCAUCUAAAGGAAGGAUGGAAUUCCAAGAUGUAUAGAUAUGAAGGAAAUACCUUCUAGGAAAGGGGGAGAGAAAUAGGAUAAAGGCAUGAAGAAGGGAGAUUGGGUGUCAUACAUGAGGAUCACAGAUUUAAAUCUGGAAGAGACCUUAGAAUAACUUCUUAAUUUUAAAGAUGAGGAAACACACUGAGUUUAACUGACUUGAUUAAGGUCUCACAAGUGAUUUUGC